rnacentral:tRNA from 1 species
UCCCUAGUGGCUCAGAGGUUAAAGCGUCUGCCUCCAAUGCGGGAGACCCGGGUUUGAUCCCUGGGUUGGGAA